CCAGACUCCACGGGAGGCAGCAGUGGGGAAUAUUGCACAAUGGGGGAAACCCUGAUGCAGCGACGCCGCGUGAGUGAAGAAGUAUUUCGGUAUGUAAAGCUCUAUCAGCAGGGAAGAAAAUGACGGUACCUGACCAAGAAGCCCCGGCUAACUACGUGCCAGCAGCCGCGGUAAUACGUAGGGGGCAAGCGUUAUCCGGAUUUACUGGGUGUAAAGGGAGCGUAGACGGUUGUGCAAGUCAGAAGUGAAAGCCCGGGGCUCAACUCCGGGACUGCUUUUGAAACUGUGAAACUGGAGUGCAGGAGAGGUAAGCGGAAUUCCUGGUGUAGCGGUGAAAUGCGUAGAUAUCAGGAGGAACACCAGUGGCGAAGGCGGCUUACUGGACUGUAACUGACGUUGAGGCUCGAAAGCGUGGGGAGCAAACAGGAUUAGAUACCCGAGUAA
rnacentral:rRNA from 1 species